rnacentral:tRNA from 1 species
GGCCCAUUCGUCUAACGGCUAGGACGCAAGAUUUUCAUUCUUGAAAUAGGAGUUUGAUUCUCCUAUGGGCUA